UGAUGAACUCCCUCAGGCUGAGCCUCAUCUCACCCAGCCCUGGCUUUCCUCCUUCCCAGGACACUGGGCCUGAGGAAGACCCUGCCCUGUCCCUGCACAAGGCCUUGAUCCUUGCCUACACUGUUUUCUGGCUGUUGUGUGCUUCAAGGGGAUGUGGAAAAGGAUCCCUCUCCUCAAAACCUGGCACUUCUAAGCUGUGCAUGCUGCAGAAGCACCUGUGGGCAUGGAGGCAGCAGGCCUAUGUCUGGAUUCUGCCCUCCGAGGGCCAUCAGGCUGCAUGGCGUUGUCUUCUAGGCUCACUUUCCUACCACAGAGCUGCUACCAAGGAACCCCAGUCCAAAGGGUGGCUGCAAGCCUCUCAUUCCCCAAACUGAGCCUGUACUGUUUGGUUCUCUCAUGAAGACAAAUACGGAAGAGACUAAUGGAAAGCCCAAAAGAGAAGGUGAAAUGUGGCUCACCAUCUGCCUUUGGUCUUGGCAGCCCAGGGCAUUUGGGCACCCCCACCAGCUUUUUUUUAAAGAUGGAGUCUCGCUCUGUUGCCCAGGCUGGAGUGCAGUGGUGCAAUCUCGACUCACUGCAACCUCUACCUCCUGGGUUCAAGUGAUUCUUCUGCCUCAGCCUCCUGAGUAGCUGGGAUUACAGAUACAUGCCACCACACCUGGCUUAUUUUUGUAUUUUUAGUACAAACGGGGUUUCACCAUGUUGGUCAGGCUGGUCUCGAACUCCUGACCUCAGGUGAUCUGCCCACCUCAGCUUCCCAAAGUGCUGGGAUUACAGGUGUGAGCCACCGCGUCCAGCCAGUUUGGGCCUUUUCUGCACAUUGCCUGUCCCUGUAGGGGCUGCCACGCUGUCCUGGGUUCAUCCCAGUGCCCAGGUCCACUGACAAUAUCUAGCUUGAAGUACUAGCCUAGCCAGCUAAGACCAAGCCCCAGGGAGUGGCUGAGAAUCUGAAUCUCCAGGACUCUCCCGGUCCCUCCCACUCUGGAGCUAAGGACAUGUUCCCCGUAGACCAGGUGAUGCUCCACUUUCAGCUGGGUGCCCUCCUGUUUCCUGGGAUGGCUGUGACUUGGGCCCCAACAGUGGCAGCAGUGCCCUCUAUCAGGAUCCCCUCCCCCACCUGAUAGGGCCUUCAGUCAGGGCAGUCUCUCGAGGG
rnacentral:lncRNA from 10 species